GUUUUGAUCCAAGGGCUCCUUGC
rnacentral:piRNA from 1 species